UACAGGAGGCCCGAGCGUUAAUCGGAAUCACUGGGUUUAAAGGGUGCGCAGGCGGACCCGUAUGUGUAUUGUGAAAUCCCUCGGCUCAACCGGGGAAUUGCAACGCAAACGGCGGGUCUUGAGGAAGGUAGGGGUCGUUGGAACGAUCGGUGGAGCGGUGAAAUGCGUUGAUAUCGAUCGGAACGCCGAAGGUGAAGACAAGCGACUGGGCCUUUCCUGACGCUCAUGCACGAAAGCGUGGGGAUCAAACAGG
rnacentral:rRNA from 1 species